AACGGGUGAGUAACGCGUGGGUAACCUGCCUUAUACAGGGGGAUAACAUUCUGAAAAGAAUGCUAAUACCGCAUGACAUAUCGGAACCACAUGGUUUUGAUAUCAAAGAUUUUAUCGCUUGAAGAUGGACUCGCGUCCGAUUAGUUAGUUGGUGAGGUAACGGCUCACCAAGACCGCGAUCGGUAGCCGGACUGAGAGGUUGAACGGCCACAUUGGGACUGAGACACGGCCCAGACUCCUACGGGAGGCAGCAUG
rnacentral:rRNA from 1 species